AAAAUCCUACGGGGGGCAGCAGUGAGGAAUAUUGGUCAAUGGGCGGGAGCCUGAACCAGCCAAGCCGCGUGAAGGAAGAAGGCGCCAAGCGUCGUAAACUUCUUUUGUCGGGGAACAAAGGGCGCCGCGUGUGGCGUUGUGAGUGUACCCGAAGAAAAAGCAUCGGCUAACUCCGUGCCAGCAGCCGCGGUAAUACGGAGGAUGCGAGCGUUAUCCGGAUUUAUUGGGUUUAAAGGGUGCGUAGGCGGUCCGGAAAGUCAGCGUUAAAAUCCCG
rnacentral:rRNA from 1 species